rnacentral:rRNA from 1 species
AUUGAACGCUGGCGGCGUGCCUAACACAUGCAAGUCGAGCGGUAACAGGUGUAGCAAUACAUGCUGACGAGCGGCGGACGGGUGAGUAACGCUUGGGAAUCUGCCUAUUAGUGGGGGACAACCCGGGGAAACUCGGGCUAAUACCGCAUACGCACUACGGUGGAAAGCCGGGGACCGCAAGGCCUGGCGCUAACAGAUGAGCCCAAGUCGGAUUAGCUAGUUGGUAGGGUAACGGCCACCAAGGCGACGAUCCGUAACUGGUCUGAGAGGACGACCAGUCACACCGGAACUGAGACACGGUCCGGACUCCUACGGGAGGCAGCAGUGGGGAAUAUUGGACAAUGGCGAAAGCCUGAUCCAGCGACGCCGCGUGGGUGAAGAAGGCCUGCGGGUUGUAAAGCCCUUUCAGUGGGGAAGAAAAGCCUCGAGCUAACACCUCGGGGUCUUGACGUAACCAUAGAAGAAGCACCGGCUAACUCUGUGCCAGCCGCCGCCGU